UACAGAGGGGGCCAGCGUUAUUCGGAAUUAUUGGGCGUAAAGGGCGCGUAGGCGGCCAUGCGUGUCUUCCGUGAAAUCCCUCGGCUUAACCGAGGACGUGCGGAAGAAACUGCAAGGCUCGAGUCCGGAAGAGGGGGGCGGAAUUCCUAGUGUAGCGGUGAAAUGCGUAGAUAUUGGGAGGAACACCAGUGGCGAAGGCGGUCCCCUGGGCCGGAACUGACGCUGAGGCGCGAAAGCGUGGGUAGCAAACGGG
rnacentral:rRNA from 1 species